UGGUACUAAGUCUCUUCUUUUAACAUGAAUCAUUUAUUGUCAAGUAGGAUGCAGAUUGAUUUGAAAUUCUAUGUCAGCUUCUGAGGUUGGACGAGCUGAAUAGAAAAAUAAGUUUGAGUACUUCGAUUGAAACAAAUAAAUCGAGUACUUUAGUAGCGAAUAUUAGUAUAAACAACAGUAUUGGAUGUUGCAAAUGUUUUUGCAAAAAAAAAUUAUUCUAAAAAAUUGUGUUGUGACACAAUUUCAGUACAGGAAUUUAUUUAUUCAUCAAUGGUGUCAUAAAUUUUAUUCUUAGUCGUUAAAAUAAUUCACAAGCUAAAUGAAUAUGUCAAUGUCAACCUCUGACCAUCCUCACUGGUGACUAAGAUCAGCUCGAAUUUUCAAUAAAGUGCCAUGUCUUCUCUUUUCUCCAUUAAACUAAUUCUCUCAUCAUUAAAAUUUACAUUUAUUUAUAGUUUAGGUUACAAAUUUACAAUAGGGUAUAAACUCAGAACUUUAUAUAGCAUGCUGCAAGAUUUUCUUCUUUUUGCUGGGCUCACAAUAUCAAGUGCUUUGAUUGUUGUCGUAUUUAUUUUCAUAUUGUGGGUGAUUGUUUACAAACUUUUCCUGAAGAGGUUUAAAUUUAUUCAAGCAAUAACUGAUGGAAAACAGGAGGAGACAGCUAAUAAAGCUUCCGAAGAGAAACUAAAUUAUAGAGCAAGACUAAGAGCUCGUCGAUCAACGAAAGAGACUUGACCAGAUGUUUACGCAGUAUUUUAUUUCUCCACAGCUUGUUGGGGACAUUAUAUACAAGAAAUCACAUGUUGGAAGCAUUCCACCCAAGAUGCUGUCGAUCUUCUUCAACAAUUUGGAACACCAGUGGAACAUACUUGCAAUGAAAAUUUUGUUUUAAAAUAAUUAAUAGGUCACGAAAAUCUUUGAUGAAUUCAGUAAAGAAAUCACACAUUGGACACCUGCCAUUCACAGAAACCACAUUGUCUUUGUUGAUAUUGAAUACUUCUAUUAGUGCUUGCUAAAAAGUUUCAAAUUUACCUACUUGAGAUUAGCUUUCAAAUAUGUUAGAGUUGUUACUUGGUCUUAGAACUGUUUAUGAUAUUUUUAAUGAUUUUAUUGUGACAUAAUAUGAGCACUUUUCAGCUGCAAUUUAUAGGAUCUUUGUUUUAUUCAUGCUCUAUUCAAUAUUCGCAAUACUUAAUUGCUCUUUAUUUCAUGGUUGAAAUGCAUGUAUCGAAUCUGCACCAUAUAUUUGCUAGAUACUCAUUUUUUAAAUUGCCAAUUGUGGGAUAUAUCUGAAAUGAUUAGCCAAUACAUUUUCAUAUUAUUUUCAAGUAUUAUUUCUUUGAAAUACUUUGUAAUGAGCUCCUAAAAAAAUUAUACCAUUUCAAAUGAAGUCGAGAUUGAUGUUAGCAUUUUAAAAGACUCGUUAUACAUGUCAUAGAUUGUUUUCUCACGCAUACCUGCCCACUUGGUAUAAACACUGCCUGAUUGAUGAUUUAUAUACUUUCCAUACAUACACUCCAAAUUGUUGGUGUUCGCAAUUUGAUUGAAAAUUUUUUCCUGUACCUCAAAAAGGCUAUGAAACUCAUUGUAUGUUCAGUUCUUGUUUGUUGAUUGUUAUUCAGUUCUUGUUUGUUGAUUGUUAUUUCCAAUUUAGGUUGUUUUGUUCAUUUGCUCGCUCUAUGUAGGUAUAAUUUAUGUAGAUAUCCAAAAACAUUUCAAUUAGUAAUGAACCAUCCACUUGCCAUGCUAGUUUUUCAUAAUAAAAGUGUCUUCACUACAGUUUUUCACAUGCCCAUAUGAAGGAAAAAACUUAAUCACUUCUUAGUGAGAUGACCUUGACCCUAAUAUUCUGAUUAAAUAUUUACCUUAACACUUUUACUGUUUUAAGUAAAGAAAUGUAUAUAGCCAUACUCGUGCAAUGAACUGUCUGUCUGCUGCUAUUCAAGAAGUCAUCCAUGAUUGUAUAUGUUUUCGAAUUCGUCAUUUAUCUCAAGUAUUCAUAUUUUGACAAUAUAUUUAUAAGACUGUGCGUGAACUGUUGUCGGUUAUAUAUAUUCGUUAUUUUUACCAUUGUCGACCCAAAUAUAUAUUGUACUCAUUCCCCUAUUGUUUGUAACAUGCUGUUAUCUCCACUGAAA